UUAGUCAAUGCUCGCAAGAGUGAACUAGCUAACUGAAAUCAUAGAAUUUUUAAAAAUUCAUGAUGUCGUAAGGGAAAAUAAUGAUAAUACCUUACUAUGAGUGUUGUCCAAAUCUGGUGCCAGAAGACUCGGUAAGACCAGAAACGCAAACGUUAAUCAUCAUAAACAGGCGUAAAGGGUUUGUAGGCAGCUUUUAUCAGAUUAUGAAUUCAAAAUAAAGUAGUCUAAUUAAAAGCUAGAAUCAAAAAGAGGUUAUAGUGUAUAACGCCUAGAGGAGGGCUGAUAUCCGUAGAUCCUAGGCAGAAUACUAAGGGCGAAGGCCACUUUCCAUUAAUGAUUGACGCUGAGAAACGAAGGUUAGGGUAGGAAAUAGGAUUAGAUACCCCGGUACUCCUUUCUGUAAACGAUGAAUGGUAGUCAUUAGUUUAAAUAUUCAAAAAUAACUAGAGGCGAAGUUAACACAAUAACCAUUCCGCCUUGUGAGUACUACUGCAAAGUAGAAAACAAAAAAAUUAGUCGGUCUCGAAGCAAACGGAGUGAAGCAUGUUAUU
rnacentral:rRNA from 1 species